rnacentral:rRNA from 1 species
GACGAACGCUGGCGGCGUGCCUAAUACAUGCAAGUCGAACGCUUCUUUCCUCCCGAGUGCUUGCACUCAAUUGGAAAGAGGAGUGGCGGACGGGUGAGUAACACGUGGGUAACCUACCCAUCAGAGGGGGAUAACACUUGGAAACAGGUGCUAAUACCGCAUAACAGUUUAUGCCGCAUGGCAUAAGAGUGAAAGGUGCUUUCGGGUGUCGCUGAUGGAUGGACCCGCGGUGCAUUAGCUAGUUGGUGAGGUAACGGCUCACCAAGGCCACGAUGCAUAGCCGACCUGAGAGGGUGAUCGGCCACACUGGGACUGAGACACGGCCCAGACUCCUACGGGAGGCAGCAGUAGGGAAUCUUCGGCAAUGGACGAAAGUCUGACCGAGCAACGCCGCGUGAGUGAAGAAGGUUUUCGGAUCGUAAAACUCUGUUGUUAGAGAAGAACAAGGACGUUAGUAACUGAACGUCCCCUGACGGUAUCUAACCAGAAAGCCACGGCUAACUACGUGCCAGCAGCCGCGGUAAUACGUAGGUGGCAAGCGUUGUCCGGAUUUAUUGGGCGUAAAGCGAGCGCAGGCGGUUUCUUAAGUCUGAUGUGAAAGCCCCCGGCUCAACCGGGGAGGGUCAUUGGAAACUGGGAGACUUGAGUGCAGAAGAGGAGAGUGGAAUUCCAUGUGUAGCGGUGAAAUGCGUAGAUAUAUGGAGGAACACCAGUGGCGAAGGCGGCUCUCUGGUCUGUAACUGACGCUGAGGCUCGA